rnacentral:rRNA from 1 species
GAAGAACCUUACCAGGUCUUGACAUACCAUUGACCGUUCUAGAGAUAGGAUUUUCCCUUCGGGGACAAUGGAUACAGGUGGUGCAUGGUUGUCGUCAGCUCGUGUCGUGAGAUGUUGGGUUAAGUCCCGCAACGAGCGCAACCCCUGUCNUUAGUUGCCAGCAUUCAGUUGGGGACUCUAACGAGACUGCCAGUGACAAACUGGAGGAAGGUGGGGAUGACGUCAAAUCAUCAUGCCCCUUAUGACCUGGGCUACACACGUGCUACAAUGGUUGGUACAAAGAGAAGCGAAGCGGUGACGUGGAGCAAACCUCAUAAAGCCAAUCUCAGUUCGGAUUGUAGGCUGCAACUCGCCUACAUGAAGUUGGAAUCGCUAGUAAUCGCGAAUCANAAUGUCGCGGUGAAUACGUUCCCGGGUCUUGUACACACCGA